AGAGUUUGAUCCUGGCUCAGAUUGAACGCUGGCGGCAGGCCUAACACAUGCAAGUCGAACGGUAACAGGAAGAAGCUUGCUUCUUUGCUGACGAGUGGCGGACGGGUGAGUAAUGUCUGGGAAACUGCCUGAUGGAGGGGGAUAACUACUGGAAACGGUAGCUAAUACCGCAUAACGUCGCAAGACCAAAAAGGGGGACCUUCGGGCCUCUUGCCAUCGGAUGUGCCCAGAUGGGAUUAGCUAGUAGGUGGGGUAACGGCUCACCUAGGCGACGAUCCCUAGCUGGUCUGAGAGGAUGACCAGCCACACUGGAACUGAGACACGGUCCAGACUCCUACGGGAGGCAGCAGUGGGGAAUAUUGCACAAUGGGCGCAAGCCUGAUGCAGCCAUGCCGCGUGUAUGAAGAAGGCCUUCGGGUUGUAAAGUACUUUCAGCGGGGAGGAAGGGAGUAAAGUUAAUACCUUUGCUCAUUGACGUUACCCGCAGAAGAAGCACCGGCUAACUCCGUGCCAGCAGCCGCGGUAAUACGGAGGGUGCAAGCGUUAAUCGGAAUUACUGGGCGUAAAGCGCACGCAGGCGGUUUGUUCAGUCAGAUGUGAAAUCCCCGGGCUCAACCUGGGAACUGCAUCUGAUACUGGCAAGCUUGAGUCUCGUAGAGGGGGGUAGAAUUCCAGGUGUAGCGGUGAAAUGCGUAGA
rnacentral:rRNA from 1 species